AUGCCUAACACAUGCAAGUCGAACGAGACCUUCGGGUCUAGUGGCGCACGGGUGCGUAACGCGUGGGAAUCUGCCCCUCGGUUGGGAAUAACACAGAGAAAUUUGUGCUAAUACCUUAUAAUGUCUUCGGACCAAAGAUUUAUCGCCGAGGGAUGAGCCCGCGUAGGAUUAGGUAGUUGGUGGGGUAAUGGCCUACCAAGCCGACGAUCCUUAGCUGGUCUGAGAGGAUGAUCAGCCACACUGGGACUGAGACACGGCCCAGACUCCUACGGGAGGCAGCAGUGGGGAAUAUUGGACAAUGGGCGAAAGCCUGAUCCAAGCAAUGCCGCGUGAGUGAUGAAGGCCUUAGGGUUGUAAAGCUCUUUUACCCGGGAUGAUAAUGACAGUACCGGGAGAAUAAGCUCCGGCUAACUCCGUGCCAGCAGCCGC
rnacentral:rRNA from 1 species